CAGAAGGUUAUGGAUAGAAGUUGAGGUGCAGCGUCGUAUGCGUAUCGUUUUCCCGUGUAUUCCUUCAGCCACAUUUAAGGAGUCAAACAGCUCAUCAUUUUUGCUACUGAAAUCAUGUUCUCCAUGUUUCGCUUUUGUCUUGGAUGUGUCGAAAUCAUGUACAUUUGUUGCCUAAUACUUGGGAGUUUGGUACAGUUCACUAACACAUGUAUGCCGGAUCUACAAUAUGGAAAACGUCUGGUUGGAUCAACGUUUAAGAUGAUCGAAAAGUCAUCUCUGUUCGCCUGUGCUGCUGAAUGUGCCUCUUAUGGGAUAUGCAAAUCCUUCCAAUUUGAAUCAGGCCCAAGAACGUGUCAUCUAAAUGAUAUCCAGUAUAUGGAAAGUGGCUUGAAAGACGCUGACUUCAUCCACAGUAGAAUUAUGAACUGGAACAAGACAAUACUUGGUCCUUGUCAGAACAAACAAUGUGGAAUCACGGAGAGAUGCAGUGUGAAGAGAAAUGGCAAUGUGCAAUGUGAGGCAUUUCUAUCUAAUAUUGCAAAGGACAAACCAGCAAGUGCAAGUUCAAUAUGGCGAGGUGAUGCGUUCCCGCCAGGUGUUGCUGUGGACGGAGAUGUUAACCCUCUGUGGACAUCAGGAUCAUGUUUUGCUACUGAGUUCAAUGAUCUGUCACCCUGGUGGCAGGUGGACCUCCAGGACACCUAUGUCGUUGUGGAAGUUCGAGUCACCAACAGAGAAGAUUUCCGACCUGACCGACUUCACGACUUUAGUAUCGACAUGUAUCGAGGCGAUCCUGCUGGGAACCCCCCAUGUCAGCUCACAACAGUGUUACAUGUACAAUGGAGCCGUGACAGAGCCGGGCAGGACAGUUGCCCUGCAGUGUACGUCACGCGUCACUGGCCGCUUCAUGAGACUUAGUGGAAAGAAAAGCAUUGACGGAACUGAUCUCCUCCAGUUUUGUGAAGCCCAAGUCUUUGGCUUUAAGCCUUUACAAUGAACACACCACUGUCGGUUGCUUGAUGAGAAUAGUUCAGUUUUGUCACAAGGGAUUGUCACCAUGGAUACGAAUAAGAUGGAAAACUAUGUUGUAUCAACUGUGCUCCAGUGAUUACAACGGGGUCUGAACUAUGGAAUCCUAGAAGGGACAUUGUCACGUUGGGGCGCUUUGACUAAGAUUGUUUUACUCAUCCAAAGCGCGACAAUGCGACACAUGUAGCGACAAUGCGACACAUGUAGCGACAAUGCGACAAAUGGCUAAAAUGUCGCACUGUCGCUCUUUGGUUAAUUCUAACACUUCUUGCUUGUUUUUGUGAAGGCGACAACGCGACAAUGUCCCUUCUAGGAUUCCAUUCUGAACACUCUCGGACUGCUUGUUCAAACUGUCCUGUUCACUCGAGUGCAUGUGAAUGUGCAGAUAAUUUUGCAUAAACUAUAUAGGACAUGUUGCUAAAACACCUCAUGUAUUAUCGGUGAUAUAGAACGAAAAUCAAGAUUUUGUUGAAACCCAUGUGCAACAACAUUGAAAACAGUCGAUUGAGGUAGGUAGUGGUAUACCUAUUGAAGGCACACAGCACAAGGGAAUGUCGCAGGUUGUAACUUCAACAUUUCGACAUUGACUGAAUUGUCAACGUUGGACGAGGAACGUGAAGAGCAAGCAACGUCAUUGUGUACGAUGUCUUAGGUGGCUUGGUAACUUGUACUCAUAUUGCGUAGCUUGUUAGUCAUAGGCAUAGUCAAAACACCUUUGAACAUGUUUAAGUUGAUUUGGGACAAUACUCCCUGUUCUUUUGAUCGUCAGUUUAGCUUUGAAGUAUAUGAUUUAUUAUGGAAAAAGAGAUUAGUUCUUGUUUUUGUAUCUUAUCAGACAUGCUCAAAGUCUGUUGUUAGCAACUGUCUAUCAGCAAAUUACGGUUGAAAGAAAUCAAUAAUACCAAUUGCUUUUACCUACUUUCAUUUUCGAAUGCACUACAAAGUCUAGACGUG
rnacentral:misc_RNA from 1 species